CGCUGGCGGCGUGCCUACACAUGCAAGUCGAACGGAGAUUAACGCUGACGAGACUUCGGUCAAAUCUUGUUAAAUCUUAGUGGCGGACGGGUGAGUAACGCGUGGGCAACCUGCCUCAUACUGGGGGAUAGCAGUUGGAAACGACUGAUAAUACCGCAUAAGCGCACGGAGUCGCAUGACUCUGUGUGAAAAACUCCGGUGGUAUGAGAUGGGCCCGCGUCAGAUUAGCUAGUUGGUAAGGUAACGGCUUACCAAGGCGACGAUCUGUAGCCGGACUGAGAGGUCGGACGGCCACAUUGGGACUGAGACACGGCCCAAACUCCUACGGGAGGCAGCAGUGGGGGAUAUUGCACAAUGGAGGAAACUCUGAUGCAGCGACGCCGCGUGAGUGAAGAAGUAUUUCGGUAUGUAAAGCCCUAUCAGCAGGGAAGAAAGGCUCGCAAGAGAGAUGACGGUACCUGACUAAGAAGCCCCGGCUAACUACGUGCCAGCAGCCGCGGUAAUACGUAGGGGGCAAGCGUUAUCCGGAUUUACUGGGUGUAAAGGGAGCGCAGACGGUCAAGCAAGUCUGAAGUGAAACCCCACGGCUCAACCGUGGGCUUGCUUUGGAAACUGUUUGACUA
rnacentral:rRNA from 1 species